rnacentral:rRNA from 1 species
AUUGAACGCUGGCGGCAUGCUUUACACAUGCAAGUCGAACGGUAACAGGUCUUCGGAUGCUGACGAGUGGCGAACGGGUGAGUAAUGCAUCGGAACGUGCCCAGUCGUGGGGGAUAACGCAGCGAAAGCUGUGCUAAUACCGCAUACGAUCUAUGGAUGAAAGCGGGGGAUCGCAAGACCUCGCGCGAUUGGAGCGGCCGAUGUCAGAUUAGCUAGUUGGUGGGGUAAAGGCCCCACCAAGGCGACGAUCUGUAGCUGGUCUGAGAGGACGACCAGCCACACUGGGACUGAGACACGGCCCAGACUCCUACGGGAGGCAGCAGUGGGGAAUUUUGGACAAUGGGCGCAAGCCUGAUCCAGCAAUGCCGCGUGCAGGAGAAGGCCU